rnacentral:tRNA from 1 species
GAGGGCGUGGAGAAGCCAGGAGUUCUCGCAACCCCGUCACGGUUGAGAUCGCGGGUUCAAAUCCCGUCGCCUUCG